rnacentral:misc_RNA from 1 species
GAUGAAGAACGUAGUGAAAUGCGAUACUUGGUGUGAAUUGCAGAAUCCCGUGAACCAUCGAGUCUUUGAACGCAAGUUGCGCCCGAAGCCAUCAGGUUGAGGGCACGUCUGCCUGGGCGUCACACAUCGUUGCCCAAUGCCUAUUGCAGUGCAAUAGGAAUUUCUAGGGCGAAUGAUGGCUUCCCGUGAGCGUUGUUGCCUCGCGGUUGGUUGAAAAUCGAGUCCUUGGUAGGGUGUGCCAUGGUAGAUGGUGGUCGAGUUAGAACGAUACCGAUCAUGUGCAUGCUCCCCAAAAUAUGGCCUCUAUGACCCACACGCGUCUUUUGACGCUCAUGACGAGACCUCAGGUCAGGCGGGGCUACCCGCUGAAUUUAAGCAUAUCAAUAAGCGGAGGA